rnacentral:rRNA from 1 species
UACGUAGGGUGCAAGCGUUAAUCGGAAUUACUGGGCGUAAAGCGUGCGCAGGCGGCCAUGCAAGACAGAUGUGAAAUCCCCGGGCUCAACCUGGGAACUGCAUUUGUGACUGCAUGGCUAGAGUACGGUAGAGGGGGAUGGAAUUCCGCGUGUAGCAGUGAAAUGCGUAGAUAUGCGGAGGAACACCGAUGGCGAAGGCAAUCCCUGGACCUGUACUGACGCUCAUGCACGAAAGCGUGGGGAGCAAACAGG